AAACCUGGAACUUUAUAGCUUAGCAACGAGAAAUCUGGAAGAACUCUGGAAUUAAUUUAAGGAAAGGGAGGUCCAUUUUGCAGGGAUGGAAGCGGAGCAUUUCUGGAUUGAAGAACACUGUUGGAGGCCUUAUUGAUAAAGGGCUGCUGGACAGCUGGGGCAGGAUGUCUCUGAUAUGGAAGAACUGUAUUUGUCUUGCCUAUAAUUGCUUCUUUAACACUGGAGUCCACAGGAAGGAUGUUUUUCUCUACCAGCUCCAUAGGACCAGGUCUUUGAGCAAUCUUUUCAUUCAGAUCAUCUGCUAGUCGAGCUCUUUUCAACUUCAUCUGAGUAGCCUGCAGGGAUGGCUCUGCAAAUGUUUCUAAAAGAGGA
rnacentral:lncRNA from 1 species